rnacentral:tRNA from 1 species
ACCGCGAUAGCUCAGCUGGUAGAGCAUCUGCCCGGUAUGCGGGGGGUUGCCGGUUCGAUUCCGGCUCGCGGCG